rnacentral:ncRNA from 1 species
UCAGAUAGAGGCGCGGAUCACAUGUAAGCCUCCGGUUGGUUCUCAAAAACCGUACACCGGACGUCGAGGGUCAUCCGCCGAAACGGAGUAUGUUUGGGCAUGCUUGCGUUGGGCAUACGGAGAAUAUCCGUAUGACUGUCACAUGGUUCAUGUGGAGUGCUAUCGGA